ensembl:misc_RNA Metazoa_SRP Metazoan signal recognition particle RNA
GCUGGGCAUGGUGGCUCAUGCCUGUAAUCCUAGCAUUUUGGGAAGCUGAGAUGGGUGGAUCACUUGAGGCCAGGAGUUCGAGACCAGCCUAGCCAACAGAGUAAGAUCCCAUCUCUA